GCCGUCGUAGGCCAAGGCGGCCACCCUCAUCGCUUUAUCGAUAGGGACAUGGAAAUUCAGAGGGAAGCGGGGGUUCGAAUCCUCCCGACGGCG